rnacentral:rRNA from 1 species
UACGUAGGGUGCAAGCGUUGUCCGGAAUUAUUGGGCGUAAAGAGCUCGUAGGCGGUCUGUCACGUCGGCUGUGAAAACCCGAGGCUCAACCUCGGGCCUGCAGUGGGUACGGGCAGACUAGAGUGCGGUAGGGGAGAUUGGAAUUCCUGGUGUAGCGGUGGAAUGCGCAGAUAUCAGGAGGAACACCGAUGGCGAAGGCAGAUCUCUGGGCCGUAACUGACGCUGAGGAGCGAAAGCAUGGGGAGCGAACAGG